rnacentral:tRNA from 1 species
AGGGGACUAAUUUAAUUAAAAUACUUGAUUUCGGCUUAAGACUAAGUGGUUUAAACCCACUGUCCCCUU